ACUCCUACGGGAGGCAGCAGUAGGGAAUAUUGGGCAAUGGACCGAAGUCUGACCCAGCCACGCCGCGUGCAGGAGGAAGGCGCUCUGCGUUGUAAACUGCUUUAGCAGGGGAAGAAAAGACUCAUGCGUGAGGAAUUGACGGUACCCUGAGAAUAAGCACCGGCUAACUACGUGCCAGCAGCCGCGGUAAU
rnacentral:rRNA from 1 species